rnacentral:rRNA from 1 species
UACGGGGGGAGCAAGCGUUGUUCGGAUUUACUGGGCGUAAAGGGCGCGUAGGCGGGCGGUCAAGUCAGGGGUGAAAGCCCCCAGCUCAACUGGGGAAGUGCCUUUGAUACUGGUCGUCUCGAGGGGGAUAGGGGCGUGCGGAACUUCCGGUGGAGCGGUGAAAUGCGUAGAGAUCCGGAGGAACCCCAGAGGCGAAGGCGGCGCCCUGGCUCGCAACUGACGCUCAGACACGACAGCAUGGGGAGCGAACGGG